rfam:Prunus persica cultivar Lovell chromosome G1, whole genome shotgun sequence.
GUUGUUCCUGGAGUUCCCUUGAACACUUCAUUGGGGAAAUUAUAAGGGUAGUUCAUAUGUACCUUAAUUUAUCCUACUGAAGUGUUUGGGGGAACUCUGGGUAUCAU